AAGGAAUAUUGGUCAAUGGACGCAAGUCUGAACCAGCCAUGCCGCGUGGAGGAUGAAGGUCCUCUGGAUUGUAAACUUCUUUUAUCUGAGACGAAACCUACUUUUUCUAAGGUAGCUGACGGUACCAGAUGAAUAAGCACCGGCUAACUCCGUGCCAGCAGCCGCGGUAAUACGGAGGGUGCAAGCGUUAUCCGGAUUCACUGGGUUUAAAGGGUGCGUAGGUGGGUAUGUAAGUCAGAGGUGAAAUCCCCGAGCUUAACUUGGGAACUGCCUUUGAUACUAUAUAUCUUGAAUGUCGUAGAGGUUAGCGGAAUAUGUCAUGUAGCGGUGAAAUGCUUAGAUAUGACAUAGAACACCAAUUGCGAAGGCAGCUAGCUAUGCGAUAAUUGACGCUGAGGCACGAAAGCGUGGGUAGCAAAC
rnacentral:rRNA from 1 species